CGGCUCGGCUCUGACCCAGCAUGGUUGCUCUUAAUCAAGGCAUCCUAAAAUUUCUCCUCCUUCUAAUUCCUCUCUUUCCCUUUCUGACAAGUGACAACCGGCGGCGCAGCAUGGUUGCUCGGCGACCUCUACUACCCCUUCUCAACCCCUGCCUUCAUCAUGGUUUCCAUGGGCGGGUGCCACGACGGCCCAUCGACGGCUCCGGACAGUCUGCGGCGACGCAGCGGAGGCCAUUUUCCUGUCCCGACGGUACCAUACUAGCAUCCCCCAAAUCGGCGACCUCAUCUGGAGCGGCCCUGCGACUGGCCGGCGAUGCAUCAUUUCCUGGCAGCAGAGACACCCCAAACUGGUCUGCGCACGGGAGAUCAGUUGUCAAGCUGCUCUGGUAGGGGCUCUUCGCAAAAUCACCAAUUGUUCAUCCGCCCAUCCGGUUGUCCCCCUGCAGGUAAAGCGUUCGACGAUAUGCGCCUGUGGCAGCAGCGGCGGCACUUUUUUUCUCGUCAUGCCCAAAUUUUGAUGCUGUUUUUUUAUCUAUUUUACUCUUUUUGUUAGAUUUGGAGAUAGCUGGUGCUCUAUCGCGAUGACAGGGCCGUUCUAGUCUUGUAGAUGGCCGUCACUGAGCAAGGUGGAGGCCGUGAGAGGUCCGGUGUGCUCCACAUGUGUUUUGGUUCUUUUCCGUUGCUCUCGGGUGAGCAGCUUUGUUUUGAUUCUACCAAUUUCAGGUGAUAAGGACGUCUGGGCAAAUAGUAGGCCAGGUCUGCUCAGAUUCAUUUGGGAACAGCAAAUAGGCGUCUGCAUCGACUUCAAUUUGAUGACCAGCUUCCAGUAAUCUGGAGAUUCUGAUGCCACAGCACAAUUGGCAUCAGGUCCAGAAGACUAGUAGAAGAAAUGCUCCAGACAUGAUGAGGCUGCACCGGUGAUGCUGUUUGCACGGCCAUCUGAGAAGCCCAACUAAAAUCUAAGAUUUUCCAUGUACUCCCUGCAGAUGUUAAUCCAAAACUAUAGGCAUCGGAAUAUUCAUCAGAGAUUAAGAAAAAUCUAAAUCUAGAUGACAUGCCAACCGCUAGGACGUCGUUCUCCUCCAUGCGGCCUCCUCUCUACGGCAGAUUGUUUAUUUAAAAAAUUUCAGACAUAUUACUAGUAGUGAAAAAUGAUCAUGUUAUUUCUAA